UAAUAUAAUAAAAAAAAGAUCUCGGGUCUGGUAUGAUUUCCGACAAGAUAAGAAUUCACCAAUAUGACCAAAGCUCUUAUAAAGUGGGUGUAAGCAAUUAUAGGCUGCUGUACAGCCUUCAACGAUGAGAAAAACCCAUACUGUAUAGUUGGCUAUGAAAGGUUUAAGAGCUCUUUUGGCACUAUGUAAACAAAAAGUUAACCUGGCAAAAAAUGACAUUUGUAAAAUGAAAUGGUGCAUACCAGGCCUGGGGCCAUUACAUUGCAAUGUAAUGCAUUACAUUACAAUUACUUUGUGAUUCUUCCAUUACAAUUACAAUUACAAUUACAUUUUUUCUCACAUGUAAUGCAUUACAUUACAAUUACUUUGCCUGUGUAAUGCAUUACAUUACCUAUUACUUUUUCAAUAUAAAAACAAAAAGCAUUUCAAAAAC
rnacentral:lncRNA from 1 species